AUAUAAAGUGUUUCUUUAUUUCUGUUCCUUAAGCAUUAGAAAUUGCCUGUAACUAAGUUAGUUAUAAGUGUAAACUAUUAACUGAUAACUAGGAAAGUGGACAGAAUAAAGUCGAGUGCGCCAGCUAAUAAAGUAAGUUUAGAAAUAUGUUAAAAUAUGUUAUGUCUCAUCGAAAUCCAGGCAGACGGCGUAGAAAUGGUAGAAUGAAAACAUGGCCAUGGGCUUAAAAUAGAAGCGGGAUAAUUAUAUUAUUGUUUACAAAUUAUUUGAACUGGUGUUGAUUCCUCAAAGGAAAUGUAGAAUAAUCCCUAAUAAAUUGUACAUGUUCUUCUAAGUACCAGCUAUGAAAUUAAACAGAUAAUUUCCCUUUUCCACAAUAAACGUUUUUCUGUAAAUAGACAGCAACUAUGUUUAAGAAAUAAUAUUUUUCUAUCAUGUUUUGUUGUCGAAUAACCCACAGUAAGGAGUAUAGAUGCGUAGGAAUUAAAUCACGAGUGCGAAGCAACUAACCAUCAUAGAAAAAUAUUAUUUCGAUUCAAACACGAUUCUAAUUGAUUUGGUUCAAGUUUUAGGACGUGAACUAUAUUUGACAACACUCCGCCCUUCUUAGUACAAAGUUCAUUAUUUAGUGACGUCAUUGAAUUGUACAAACAUAUGACGUCGUUUUCAUUUACAAAUAUUUUGCAAAUGACGUCACUUUCAUUGAAAACAACAAUCGUAGAAACUUAAUGACAUCACGUUUAUUGAUGCUACUGAAAAGCUGACAUGCUAUAAAUGUUUUUUUAAUUACGUUUCCUAACAAAUAACAUUCUUUGUAGGCGUAGUUAUGCCAAUAAUCACCAAAUAUACAAUUAGUUGUUUCAUUACACUUAUAUACAUGCUACAUUUAUUACAUUUCUUUUAGAGCGGGUUUUAGCACGUGCAUUUUACUGCAAUAUUUUCUUUAUUUAUUCGGAACUAUUUUCGAAACAUUAAGCUCCGCCCAUAAGUUAUUGCAGAAUAACCCACACUUGAUUUCCUUCUUUGUCUAUAGGAAACAAGUCACGUGCCGUGUUAGAAUAUUUAAUAUACCAGUAACCUUUCGGUCUAUUGUAGAUAUUAUCCGAUCGAGUUCAAGCAAGAUUCUUGGAACAAAUCAACAAUUCCCUCUAAUAUGUUGUAUACUUUACUAUAUACAUGUUUGUUUUGUGAGUGAGUUUAUGAUUAGAACGAAAGCUUCCACUUUAUCUUAUUGGAUCAUCAUUUUCACUUUUGUGUGAUGAAUACAGAAUAUAACAAACUUUUUUAUUAUAUUUAUCUAUCAGAAGUGGAUGUAUUUAGAAUUGCGUUCUGUUUCUUUUUUCGUUUUACACGUUUUGUUUAAAUAAGAGUAAAAGGAAUUGUCAGUAUUCCUCUCUGUUGACAGGUCUUAUUCACAAUAAAUCACAAUAAAAAAGUGACAUGCAUCAUGCCUUGUUGUUGUUUUUAGCCUUCCGUUCGUCCUUGACCUGUUCUGCACAAUGGCAAUAGCUGGGAAAAACCCAUCGGCCAAUAAGAUUGCCUCGAUUGUUGCUGCCUAUGCGAACCUCAUUAAUGCCAGGAAUGAGAAGUUGUCAGCGGGGCACAGACUCACAACAGUUGUAUCCAUCAAAGGGCACUUGGAUGACUCGGCACUAACACUUUUCAACCGCAUGGGGCUGACAAUGUCGACAUCAUCCAAACUGCGCCUACUGGAUGAAGCUGGUGAAAUGCUGGAAGACAACAUCGCCAGAAGUCUAAGAAAAAACCCACUUGUCAAAAUCACGGGUGACAAUGUGGACAUCUAUGUCAGAACAGGACAUCAUUCACUGGACAGACACAAAAAGGACCUCCACAUGUUUUGCCUCAAAUAUCAUCUUCAGCAGGGUAGAUUGCACAACUAGGAUCGUUCAGCACUUGUUUCACCAUGCCAUCACUUGGAAAACUUUUUCAAGAGAAGUUCUUUCCCAAUGGUCACCACAGAGACACUUUGACAAACACUGUGUAUUGUUAGGAAGAAUACUGGCCGAGCUUAAAGACUUCUCCUGGCUUCAAAAAGUGCUCCCAGCCCACAUCUAUCAUCCUUACCAAGCUGAUUUGAGGCAAAAAUGAAGUUGACUGAAUCCAUAUAAAAUGGUGUACAUAUAUAUAAUUAAACAUGUAUACCUACAUCACAACGGUUAAUAUUUAGCUAUUGAAUUAUUUUUUUGUGUGCAUAAAUAAUGAAAGGGAAAAAAAUACCAAUAAGAACCAUUCUUGGAACAAAUGAUCAAUACAUUAAUGAUCAAAAUAUACUUAUGUUAAACAAAUGUCCUGCAAAAGCAUUUUAUCCUUUUUGCUGGGAGUUGAACCCAGAUUUCUUCCCACAGAGCAGGGGGAAGUGUUCUUACAUUGAACUACAAAGGCUAAUAAAUUGUUUAUGAAAUCAAGAGGAUAUAUGUCUUGACUGUUCUAUGGGGCCCAUAUUCCCUACUUCACUUACUGCUGUUUUUGAUUUUGUAUGUGAAUACAUGUGAAAUCCUGUAUAAACAGUAUUUUUGUGUGAGUUCUUGUUUACGCCUCAUAAGAUUUAGUUUAAAGAGUAAAUGUAUGUUAAAAUUAAUGCAUUAAUUUAUAUACUGAUAAGUAUGAGUACUCCUCUUAAAUAUAAUUACAGUCAAUAUGUAUUUCCUGAUGUAAAUUAUUUAUUGAUACAUGACGUACUCAGUGUGCGAAAUUCGCACUAGCUUGAAGGGUUUUGGCUAGUGAAAAUCCUUUCGAGGUAGUGGGAAUUUAAAAAUGUAUAUAGUUGGGCUAGUAAGAAAUUCAACUUUUCUAUACAUGUGUAAAAGAAUUUGGGAUAUUACUUUAAAAUUUGAAUUUCGCACACCGCUUGUACUACUUAUGUUAUUAUUAUUUUAAACUUUUGUAACCUUGCUUAAUCAAAAUUUCAAGUGCUCGUUAAAAUAAUGUAUAUAUGUCUAUUAAUGUUAUUAUCAUAUUGCAUGUAUUAAAAUCUGUUACUAUGGGCAAUUGGCCUUCUAAAAAUGCUGUUAAUAAAAUCUUGAAUCUUACUUAGUUACUUACCAUUCUUUUACAAUGUGACAUUCAUCUAUCACUACCCAUUUUACAUAAACAAUGAAUUGUCUUUUGCUCAGCAAGUCUUUUCCACUGACUGUGUUAAGAAGUGUUUCAGGAUGAGCAAACACAAUUGCGAAUUCCCCUUCUGCAAUAUUCUGGAUCAUAUCUUUCUCCAUCAGCUGUAAAUAAAUAUGUCCAUAGUUGCUAACUUACAGGUUAUAUGAUGUAAAUAAUAACUCUUCUUUCACUCUUGGUCAAGUCCGAGUGGAAGUAAUAUGGUACUACUUUUACUGGCAUAAUUAUCGAUUAUUAUAUAUAUGUUAUAUUUCUUGAAUAAUAAUAAUAUGGUAUAUAUACUGACUAUAAAUACAAUUAAAAUGGCAUUAUAUCAGUACAGCAAAGCAUAUACAUGUUAUAUAAAUAUCUAUCAUUUAUUCUAAAAUAUCAUUUAUUCUAGCAGUAUAAAAAAUAAAUUUGAAAUACGUCAUACAAUGAAUUACAUGUACUUAUUAACAAUUAUUGCUGGAUCUACUAAAAAGUGUUAAAUUCCCCACUUAAAAUAAAUGUAAUAUGAAUGUUAUGAUCAUUGUUAAAAAACACACUUA